CCUACGGGUGGCAGCAGUGGGGAAUAUUGGACAAUGGGGGGAACCCUGAUCCAGCCAUGCCGCGUGUGUGAAGAAGGCCCUCGGGUUGUAAAGCACUUUCAGUGAGGAAGAACGCCUGGUGGUUAAUACCCAUCAGGAAAGACAUCACUCACAGAAGAAGCACCGGCUAACUCCGUGCCAGCAGCCGCGGUAAUACGGAGGGUGCGAGCGUUAAUCGGAAUUACUGGGCGUAAAGCGCGCGUAGGUGGCUUGAUAAGCCGGUUGAGAAAGCCCCGGGCUCAACCUGGGAACGGCAUCCGGAACUGUCAAGCUAGAGUGCAGGAGAGGAAGGUAGAAUUCCCGGUGUAGCGGUGAAAUGCGUAGAGAUCGGGAGGAAUACCAGUGGCGAAGGCGGCCUUCUGGACUGACACUGACACUGAGGUGCGAAAGCGUGGGUAGCAAACAGGAUUAGAUACCCCUGUAGUC
rnacentral:rRNA from 1 species